AUUGAACGCUGGCGGCAGGCCUAACACAUGCAAGUCGAGCGGUAGAGAGAAGCUUGCUUCUCUUGAGAGCGGCGGACGGGUGAGUAAAGCCUAGGAAUCUGCCUGGUAGUGGGGGAUAACGUUCGGAAACGGACGCUAAUACCGCCUACGUCCUACGGUAGAAAGCAGGGGAUCUUCGGGCCUUGCGCUAUCAGAUGAGCCUAGGUCGGAUUAGCUAGUUGGUGAGGUAAUGGCUCACCAAGGCGACGAUCCGUAACUGGGCUGAGAGGAUGAUCAGUCACACCGGAACUGAGACACGGUCUAGACUCCUACGGGAGGCAGCAGUGGGGAAUAUUGGACAAUGGGCGAAAGCCUGAUCCAGCCAUGCCGCGUGUGUGAAGAAGGUCUUCGGAUUGUAAAGCACUUUAAGUUGGGAGGAAGGGCAUUAACCUAAUACGUUAGUGUUUUGACGUUACCGACAGAAUAAGCACCGGCUAACUCUGUGCCAGCAGCCGCCGUAA
rnacentral:rRNA from 1 species